GCGCAAAUUCCAGUUCCUGCUACGAAGAGAGAAAGGUUUUAUAUUUUGGGUUCUCUUGCCUAAGGUAGUUUUUAAAAUAUAUAAUUACUAUGUUAUCUGCCUAUAGUGAUCUACAAUUUACAUAAUAAAGAGGUCCUUAAGGGCUGUUCCUGAUGGAUUUAACAAAACUCUGACAUUUUUUAAAUGAUCCACUCAAUAGAGAAACAUUCAAUGAAAUGGCAGGAUAAAAAUAGCUUUAAAUAAUCUCUAACUGCCACUGAAUAUUUUCAUUACUAGGAUGUUUAUUACUUUGACUCUCUUUUAAAUUGUAAAGUCAUUUUAAUUCCCUCAAACAAAAAGCCCAGGCUUGCAAAAUAUUUGGCUAUUUUCUGAGCUAACUAUAUCCAAAUGAAUAUUUUAACUGAAGUGAUGUGCUACCUACAAACUCAAGAAUUGCCCUAAUGCCGUGAACGGACAAUACUCAAACAACAAGUAAUAGUGAUCAUAGUCAUGUUGCUACUAAAAAGAAAAUAUCAACAGAGCUGUGAUACAAGCAGGUGGAAGUGAUAAGACAUUACUGGAGUCUGUUGAUAUUUUGCAGAUAAAGCCAAUUUCAUGAAUUAAUGUAGUUUCUAAGAGGAAGAGAAAUCAAGGAACAUGCCAAGUGUUUUACUGAGCUAGGGAAGAUGAAGACGUUGGGAGCGGAGAAAGGAGGUGGAUUAAAUGUGUGGCAUCCAGCAAGCUGUGAAUACAGAACUGAUGAAUUUCCUUCCCUUCCCCUGAAAUCAUGACUUAGCUCUCAGCUGGUGGACUCCAAAGGCAUCAAGCAAUGCAAAGGGAACUCACCAAGUUUAUAAAAACUGGGAAGCCAUGCUGUGCUUUCCUUGAAACACUGUCUUAAAUCUAUUUUUAACUUUUUUAAGUUACGCUAUCAUGUGGCCAUUUACAACAGCAAAUACACGAUGCUCCAACCAAACAAAAACUCAGCAAGAAUCAGAGUGCCUGGUUUUUCCUGGCUGGUUGACCCCCGCCUCACGUGCAGGAGCUGUCAGAUCACGCUGGCAGACCAUUUCAAAUGCGGGUGGACUUCCCAAAAUCCACCAAGCCAACCCAGGCCUGUGAGGACAGCACUUACGGAAGUGGCAGGGCCAAGGUGCUGAGUACCAAUCAGGGCAUCUUGGGUUGCUACUGAAUUCUUUUAAUCUGCUACUUUGAAACAACGAGGCUCAGAAGCUACCUCUUGUCCAAAUUUGCCAACCCCUUUUGCCUGACAAAGCAGUCAGUAUGAAGAGCAUAAGCAAUUAAGAAGUAAGGCAUUACCACUCUAGCCGGUUUGGCUAAGUAGAUAGAGCAUCGGCCUGCGGACCAAAGGUUCUCAGGUUCAUUUCCGG